rnacentral:rRNA from 1 species
GGGUUGUGAGGUUAAGCGACUAAGCGUACACGGUGGAUGCCCUGGCAGUCAGAGGCGAUGAAGGACGUGCUAAUCUGCGAUAAGCGUCGGUAAGGUGAUAUGAACCGUUAUAACCGGCGAUUUCCGAAUGGGGAAACCCAGUGUGAUUCGUCACACUAUCAUUAACUGAAUCCAUAGGUUAAUGAGGCGAACCGGGGGAACUGAAACAUCUAAGUACCCCGAGGAAAAGAAAUCAACCGAGAUUCCCCCAGUAGCGGCGAGCGAACGGGGAGGAGCCCAGAGCCUGAAUCAGUGUGUGUGUUAGUGGAAGCGUCUGGAAAGGCGCGCGAUACAGGGUGACAGCCCCGUACACAAAAAUGCACAUACUGUGAGCUCGAUGAGUAGGGCGGGACACGUGGUAUCCUGUCUGAAUAUGGGGGGACCAUCCUCCAAGGCUAAAUACUCCUGACUGACCGAUAGUGAACCAGUACCGUGAGGGAAAGGCGAAAAGAACCCCGGCGAGGGGAGUGAAAAAGAACCUGAAACCGUGUACGUACAAGCAGUGGGAGCCUCUUUAUGGGGUGACUGCGUACCUUUUGUAUAAUGGGUCAGCGACUUAUAUUCUGUAGCAAGGUUAACCGAAUAGGGGAGCCGAAGGGAAACCGAGUCUUAACUGGGCGUUAAGUUGCAGGGUAUAGACCCGAAACCCGGUGAUCUAGCCAUGGGCAGGUUGAAGGUUGGGUAACACUAACUGGAGGACCGAACCGACUAAUGUUGAAAAAUUAGCGGAUGACUUGUGGCUGGGGGUGAAAGGCCAAUCAAACCGGGAGAUAGCUGGUUCUCCCCGAAAGCUAUUUAGGUAGCGCCUCGUGAAUUCAUCUCCGGGGGUAGAGCACUGUUUCGGCAAGGGGGUCAUCCCGACUUACCAACCCGAUGCAAACUGCGAAUACCGGAGAAUGUUAUCACGGGAGACACACGGCGGGUGCUAACGUCCGUCGUGAAGAGGGAAACAACCCAGACCGCCAGCUAAGGUCCCAAAGUCAUGGUUAAGUGGGAAACGAUGUGGGAAGGCCCAGACAGCCAGGAUGUUGGCUUAGAAGCAGCCAUCAUUUAAAGAAAGCGUAAUAGCUCACUGGUCGAGUCGGCCUGCGCGGAAGAUGUAACGGGGCUAAACCAUGCACCGAAGCUGCGGCAGCGACACUAUGUGUUGUUGGGUAGGGGAGCGUUCUGUAAGCCUGUGAAGGUGGCCUGUGAGGGUUGCUGGAGGUAUCAGAAGUGCGAAUGCUGACAUAAGUAACGAUAAAGCGGGUGAAAAGCCCGCUCGCCGGAAGACCAAGGGUUCCUGUCCAACGUUAAUCGGGGCAGGGUGAGUCGACCCCUAAGGCGAGGCCGAAAGGCGUAGUCGAUGGGAAACAGGUUAAUAUUCCUGUACUUGGUGUUACUGCGAAGGGGGGACGGAGAAGGCUAUGUUGGCCGGGCGACGGUUGUCCCGGUUUAAGCGUGUAGGCUGGUUUUCCAGGCAAAUCCGGAAAAUCAAGGCUGAGGCGUGAUGACGAGGCACUACGGUGCUGAAGCAACAAAUGCCCUGCUUCCAGGAAAAGCCUCUAAGCAUCAGGUAACAUCAAAUCGUACCCCAAACCGACACAGGUGGUCAGGUAGAGAAUACCAAGGCGCUUGAGAGAACUCGGGUGAAGGAACUAGGCAAAAUGGUGCCGUAACUUCGGGAGAAGGCACGCUGAUAUGUAGGUGAAGUCCCUUGCGGAUGGAGCUGAAAUCAGUCGAAGAUACCAGCUGGCUGCAACUGUUUAUUAAAAACACAGCACUGUGCAAACACGAAAGUGGACGUAUACGGUGUGACGCCUGCCCGGUGCCGGAAGGUUAAUUGAUGGGGUUAGCGGUAACGCGAAGCUCUUGAUCGAAGCCCCGGUAAACGGCGGCCGUAACUAUAACGGUCCUAAGGUAGCGAAAUUCCUUGUCGGGUAAGUUCCGACCUGCACGAAUGGCGUAAUGAUGGCCAGGCUGUCUCCACCCGAGACUCAGUGAAAUUGAACUCGCUGUGAAGAUGCAGUGUACCCGCGGCAAGACGGAAAGACCCCGUGAACCUUUACUAUAGCUUGACACUGAACAUUGAGCCUUGAUGUGUAGGAUAGGUGGGAGGCUUUGAAGUGUGGACGCCAGUCUGCAUGGAGCCGACCUUGAAAUACCACCCUUUAAUGUUUGAUGUUCUAACGUUGGCCCCUGAUCGGGGUUGCGGACAGUGUCUGGUGGGUAGUUUGACUGGGGCGGUCUCCUCCUAAAGAGUAACGGAGGAGCACGAAGGUUGGCUAAUCCUGGUCGGACAUCAGGAGGUUAGUGCAAUGGCAUAAGCCAGCUUGACUGCGAGCGUGACGGCGCGAGCAGGUGCGAAAGCAGGUCAUAGUGAUCCGGUGGUUCUGAAUGGAAGGGCCAUCGCUCAACGGAUAAAAGGUACUCCGGGGAUAACAGGCUGAUACCGCCCAAGAGUUCAUAUCGACGGCGGUGUUUGGCACCUCGAUGUCGGCUCAUCACAUCCUGGGGCUGAAGUAGGUCCCAAGGGUAUGGCUGUUCGCCAUUUAAAGUGGUACGCGAGCUGGGUUUAGAACGUCGUGAGACAGUUCGGUCCCUAUCUGCCGUGGGCGCUGGAGAACUGAGGGGGGCUGCUCCUAGUACGAGAGGACCGGAGUGGACGCAUCACUGGUGUUCGGGUUGUCAUGCCAAUGGCACUGCCCGGUAGCUAAAUGCGGAAGAGAUAAGUGCUGAAAGCAUCUAAGCACGAAACUUGCCCCGAGAUGAGUUCUCCCUGACUCCUUGAGAGUCCUGAAGGAACGUUGAAGACGACGACGUUGAUAGGCCGGGUGUGUAAGCGCAGCGAUGCGUUGAGCUAACCGGUACUAAUGAACCGUGAGGCUUAACCUUACAACGCCGAAG